ACUCCUACGGGAGGCAGCAGUGAGGAAUAUUGGUCAAUGGGCGCAAGCCUGAACCAGCCAUCCCGCGUGAAGGAAGAAGGCGCUAUGCGUUGUAAACUUCUUUUCCAGGGGAAUAAAAUUCUGUACGUGUACGGAAUUGAAGGUACCCUGGGAAUAAGCAUCGGCUAACUCCGUGCCAGCAGCCGCGGUAAUACGGAGGAUGCAAGCGUUAUCCGGAUUUAUUGGGUUUAAAGGGUGCGCAGGCGGCAUGUUAAGUCGGCGGUGAAAUUUUGCAGCUCAACUGUAAAAGAGCCUUCGAAACUGGCAAGCUUGAGUGUGGAUGAAGUAGGCGGAAUUUGUGGUGUAGCGGUGAAAUGCAUAGAUAUCACAAAGAACACCGAUUGCGCAGGCAGCUUACUAAACCAUAACUGACGCUCAUGCACGAAGGCGUGGGGAUCAAACAGGAUUAGAUACCCUGGUAGUC
rnacentral:rRNA from 1 species